UUGAAGUUCCAGAAACGGCUACCUUUCAAAAUCCAGAUCAUUUAAAUGUGUUUAUAAUGGUUUGCAUAAAUAUUUUUGUAACAUUAAACUCCUUUCAACAACGUGACUCUGCUCAGUCCUCUUUAGAAUGACAUGCUGGCUUUGAGGAAGUGCUGGUGUAGAAUGUUACUUGAGAACUUCAGCCCUAAGGGGUUUAGACUUUAUUGAGCCAUUAAUGAGAAGACAGAGUAAAGACUUGGCACUACAUCUGAAAUGAACAAA